UACGAAGGGGGCUAGCGUUGCUCGGAAUCACUGGGCGUAAAGGGUGCGUAGGCGGGUUUUUAAGUCAGAGGUGAAAUCCUGGAGCUCAACUCCAGAACUGCCUUUGAUACUGAAGAUCUUGAGUCCGGAAGAGGUGAGUGGAACUGCGAGUGUAGAGGUGAAAUUCGUAGAUAUUCGCAAGAACACCAGUGGCGAAGGCGGCGACCUGGUCCGUUGACUGACGCUGAGGCG
rnacentral:rRNA from 1 species